GUGAUGGGCGAUGACAAGUCGCUGCAGUUUGGCAAAGCACACUACCUCCUCUACAGCAACUUGACAGAUCCAUCCAUCCGAAAACACAAAAUAUCUCUUCAAAGCCAAGCAAAAAUUCAAGAGAAAGAAAAAUCAGUGGAGAAUCAGAAAGUGAUUGCAGCAGCUGAACUUGCCCUCCAUCCCAUGAUCUCAACGACCGACACCUUACCAGCCUCGAUCGGGAAGGUGACACUGAAACAUCAGCAAACACCCGCAGCACAAGAGGGAAGGAAGUCAACACCCACCGUCCAGCAGAGGACAAGGCAAGCAACGGAGCACAGGGCAGAGGGAGCAAAAGGGCAAGAGCGUCAAGCUGCAGGACCAAGGCCACGUCACAAGCAACCCCAUCGAAGAACCGAGGACAAGAUCCCGGCAGCGCAGAGGAGGAGGAGAUCUGACAUCUGAGAGCAGGAAUCGGUGGGCAAUGGGGAAGAUGACGAGAUCAAGAAGUCAGUAGAGCACCAGAGAGGGAGGAGGAGGAGAAGAGCAGAGCAAGAAGUCACCAGAUUCACUCGAGCAGCGGCGGCGGCGGUGGAGGGAGCAGGAUGAUGCCGCCGAAGCAGCUGCUGACCAUCAUCCUCAUUGUCUUCUCCACGCUCUCCUUCAUCAAGCUGCUGCUGCUCACCAGCUCCUCCUCGUCCGCCGCCUCCUCGUCAUCCGCGCACUCGCACGGCUCGGCGUGGGACGGCGGCGGGGGAGGGAACGGGACCGGCAGGAGCGUGCUCGCGGCCAAGGAGCUCGUGCUGCUCCGCUCCCUCGUCGCCGCGCGGGCGCCGUGCAGGCUCCUCGUGUUCGGCCUCUCCCCGCAGCUCCUCGCGCUCGCCGCGCUCAACUCCGGCCCCGGCGCCGGCGCGGCCACCACCUUCGUCACCGACAGCGCCGAGGACGCCGACGGCGCGAGCCGCGUGCUCCUCUCCGGCAGCGGCGCCGGGGCCGCCCCUGCGGUGGCCGUCCACCGGGCGAGGUACCGCGACGCGGCGCGGGAGGCGUGGCCGCUACUGCGGCGCGCGCGAGGGAGCCCGGCGUGCCGGCGGCCGACGGGGACGGUGCGCAAGUCCGGGUGCCCGCUGGCGCUGACGUCUCUUCCGCGGGAGGUGCUCGACGCGCGGUGGGACGUGAUCGUCGUCGAUGGGCCCAGCGGGGCGGCGCCCGGGGAGCCCGGCCGGAUGGGGACCAUAUACACGGCCGCGGCACUGGCGCGCGCGGCGGCGGCUGCGGCAGCGCGGGAUGGCGGCGGUGAGGUGGACGUGGCGGUGCACGACGUGGACCGCACGGUGGAGCAGUGGUACACGUGGGAGUACCUCUGCGAGGACAACCUCGUGGCCGCCAAGGGCCGUCUCUGGCACUUCCGCAUCGCCGCCGGCGGGCCGCCGGACGCGUUCUGCUCCACCCACCCUAUCCGGAUCUUGUAGAACCGCCGGACGAACAGGACCAAGAAUCCAAGAUCUCCGGAGGAAACAUUGCCAUUCCUUAUUCCCAAUAGGGCAAUGCUGGUGAAUUGGGGCCACGGCAUCGCCGAGAUCUUUGUCGUGGCAUCACCGGAGGUGGCGAGCUAUUCUUGUUCAAGGCCGGAGCUCGGAGAUUGUGGCAGCAGUGCUAAUGCGAAGGAUAAUUGCGUUGUUGAUAGAAUUAUAGAUAAACCUGCCCAAAUGUUAAGAAUCGAGGUUCGUACAAAUUCAGAGGCUUCAAGACCUUCAGUUAACUUUACCAAGAAGAGUGAUAUGUUUGUUCCAACUUAAAAGAGCAUCUCCUGGUGAGCAGUCAAAUUGCGUUCUCUAUAUCUCUAUAUAGUGUCCUUUAAAAAGAUUCACAUUUUAUAUCUCUUUGCACUUCAAUAGACUAUCUAUAUUCUACCUUCCGUGUUUUACUCUUCUGUAUUUUAGUAAUUUCUAGUUAACUAACUAUAUAUUUAUAAUAGCUAUAUUUGUAAUGACUAUA